GGGAAUUAAUACAUUGCUUCACUGAUGCUUCACCGUGGGCAUAUGCAUUAAGCUUUGCUACACUCUUUACAGUUCCCUUGAUGCAUUGUGUUGAUAUACAGUGUAUGGAACGCUGUUUGCCAGUGAGUGUUUGCAACCUAUGGUAUACAAAAGUUGUGGUCAUUAUCUCAUUGAUUAUUACAAAUUUGCUGUUGGCUGUACUUUUGAGUGUAAGUG